UACGGAAGGCAGCAGGGGGAAGUAUUGGACAAUGGGCGAAAGCCUGAUCCAGCCAUGCCGCAUGAGUGAAGAAGGCCUUCGGGUUGUAAAGCUCUUUUAGUGAGAAAGAUAAUGACGGUACUCACAGAAGAAGUCCUGGCUAACUCCGUGCCAGCAGCCGCGGUAAUACGGAGAGGGCUAGCGUUAUUCGGAAUUAUUGGGCGUAAAGAGCGCGUAGGCUGAUUAGUAAGUUAAAAGUGAAAUCCCAAAGCUUAACUUUGGAAUUGCUUUUUAAAACUGCUAGUCUAGAGAUUUGAAAGAGGAUAGAGGAAUUCCUAGUGUAGAGGUGAAAUUCGUAAAUAUUAGGAGGAACACCAGUGGCGAAGGCGUCUAUCUGGUUCAAAUCUGACGCUGAGGCGCGAAGGGCGUGGGGAGCAAACAGGGAUUAGAUACC
rnacentral:rRNA from 1 species